GCUCGGGUGAUGGAAUAGGUAUACAUGCGACACUUAAAAUGUCGUGCCCACAAGGUAUGCGGGUUCGAUUCCCGCCCCGAGCA
rnacentral:tRNA from 1 species